rnacentral:tRNA from 1 species
GGGGUUGUAGCUCAAUGGUAGAGUGCCUGCCUAGCAUGUGUGAGGCACUGGGUUUGAUUCUCAGCACCUCA